AUUUAAAUAGCUUAAAAUAGAGCAUUAUAUUGAAGAUAUAAGGGUAAAUUUAAAUUUUUUAAAUA
rnacentral:tRNA from 1 species